rnacentral:tRNA from 1 species
GGUGCCAUUGCCAAGUGGUAAGGCCACAGUCUGCAAAACUGUUAUUCCCCAGUUCAAAUCUGGGUGGCACCUCCA